GAGUUUGAUCCUGGCUCAGAUUGAACGCUGGCGGCAGGCCUAACACAUGCAAGUCGAGCGGAAACGAGUUAACUGAACCUUCGGGGAACGUUAACGGCGUCGAGCGGCGGACGGGUGAGUAAUGCCUGGGAAAUUGCCCUGAUGUGGGGGAUAACCAUUGGAAACGAUGGCUAAUACCGCAUAAUAGCUUCGGCUCAAAGAGGGGGACCUUCGGGCCUCUCGCGUCAGGAUAUGCCCAGGUGGGAUUAGCUAGUUGGUGAGGUAAUGGCUCACCAAGGCGACGAUCCCUAGCUGGUCUGAGAGGAUGAUCAGCCACACUGGAACUGAGACACGGUCCAGACUCCUACGGGAGGCAGCAGUGGGGAAUAUUGCACAAUGGGCGCAAGCCUGAUGCAGCCAUGCCGCGUGUAUGAAGAAGGCCUUCGGGUUGUAAAGUACUUUCAGCAGUGAGGAAGGUGGGUAUGUUAAUAGCAUACUCAUUUGACGUUAGCUGCAGAAGAAGCACCGGCUAACUCCGUGCCAGCAGCCGCGGUAAUACGGAGGGUGCGAGCGUUAAUCGGAAUUACUGGGCGUAAAGCGCAUGCAGGUGGUUUGUUAAGUCAGAUGUGAAAGCCCGGGGCUCAACCUCGGAAUUGCAUUUGAAACUGGCAAACUAGAGUACUGUAGAGGGGGGGUAGAAUUUUCAGGGUGUAAGCGGUGAAAUGCGUANAGAUCAUGAANGAAUACCGGUGGCGAAAGGCGGCCCCCCUGCACANNAUACUGUACACCUCAAAUGUGAAAGCGUGGGGAGCAAACANGAUUNNUNNANCCNUGUCUNUCCCACNCCNAUNAANNANNNNNNAUUUG
rnacentral:rRNA from 1 species